AUUGUUUUGUAGUUCAUAAGUGAUGAUUGGGUUUUCAUGCGCAUGUGUGAGAUGUGCCUCCCACAAAUCUUGUCCCCACUUCAGCACAUUACACAUAUGACA